AUGGACGCGGUCGUGGCCAUGGACCGGCUGGCCCGUCGUCAACAGAAGCUACCGCCGGCGGGGACGAAGCGCAAGCUCCCGGAGCCGCGCACUCUCCCUCCGCUCAGCUCGCGGAUCAGCUCGGUGAACGCCAGGCACCGGCAGACCGCUGAGAAGUUUCUGGCGGACAUCGCGUCCGCGGACGAGGUGAUCCGGGAGCUCGACGAGGCGCUGGCGAAGCAGGGUGACGGCAUGGAGCAAGGCUAG
rnacentral:rRNA from 1 species